GAGUUGGGGGUACCCGAAGUCGCUAGUCUAACCUGCAAGGGAGGGCGGUGCCGAAGGUACGCUUGGUGAGGAGGGUGAAGUCGUAACAAGGUAGCCGUACCGGAAGGUGCGGCUGGAUCACCUCCUUUCUUAGAGAAAGG
rnacentral:rRNA from 1 species